AUUGAACGCUGGCGGCAGGCCUAACACAUGCAAGUCGAGCGGAUGAAGGGAGCUUGCUCCUGGAUUCAGCGGCGGACGGGUGAGUAAUGCCUAGGAAUCUGCCUGGUAGUGGGGGAUAACGUCCGGAAACGGGCGCUAAUACCGCAUACGUCCUGAGGGAGAAAGUGGGGGUUCUUCGGACCUCACGCUAUUAGAUGAGCCUAGGUCGGAUUAGCUAGUUGGUGGGGUAAAGGCCUACCAAGGCGACGAUCCGUAACUGGUCUGAGAGGAUGAUCAGUCACACUGGAACUGAGACACGGUCCAGACUCCUACGGGAGGCAGCAGUGGGGAAUAUUGGACAAAGGGCGAAAGCCUGAUCCAGCCAUGCCGCGUGUGUGAAGAAGGUCUUCGGAUUGUAAAGCACUUUAAGUUGGGAGGAAGGGCAGUAAGUUAAUACCUUGCUGUUUUGACGUUACCAACAGAAUAAGCACCGGCUAACUUCGUG
rnacentral:rRNA from 1 species